UACGUAGGGUGCAAGCGUUGUCCGGAAUUAUUGGGCGUAAAGAGCUCGUAGGCGGUCUGUCGCGUCUGCUGUGAAAAACUCGGGGCUUAACCCCGGGCCUGCAGUCGAUACGGGCAGACUGGAGUUCGGCAGGGGAGACUGGAAUUCCUGGUGUAGCGGUGAAAUGCGCAGAUAUCAGGAGGAACACCGGUGGCGAAGGCGGGUCUCUGGGCCGAUACUGACGCUGAGGAGCGAAAGCGUGGGGAGCGAACAGG
rnacentral:rRNA from 1 species